GUCUGUGGAGAUGCUGAAGGAGAU
rnacentral:piRNA from 1 species